AGGCGCACGUGUAUUUUGUUUUUAACCAGGACAACAGAAACACUGUAGAAAACAAGCUCAUCUGUUUUCCUUUCACUUCUUGGUAUGUGCAUGUUUCAUCAGCACUCUCUACCUUCCUCUUACAGGGAGUGGGGGGACUGAAAGGAGCAGGAACUCGGGGGCCCUGCCCUCCCCUUUCCUCCUAAGCACCAUUUUCGGUGGGUGUGGUUAGCCAAUGUAGGGAAACAACACCAGCAAGGAAGGAUGUGACGGGGUCUCUUGCCUUGGUGUCUGUUAGGACACCGCUGUCUUCUUUCUGCCUUUGAAGCAAGUCCCAGUUUGAAUGGAAAGCGUGGCCACUGGAUGGAACAUCUUGGACUCACUUUGAGCGUCUCUGAACCGGGCAGCACCGCUUCCAGCACAGAGACCUGGGGUUCAAACACAGCUCACUGACUCUGGAAGGACACUGACCCAGGGGCACGGGAGUUUCUACCCACUCGAGGUGCCAACUGUUUGUCACCGCGGAUGGCUCACCUCCAGGCACCCCGCAGCCAGCCACAGCCACCCUCUGGCAAAGGUCAAUCAUCCAGCUCCUAAGGGCUGAGCACCUGCUCCAGCCAGGCCCUGCUGGAGGCACCAUACCCAGACCACAUGGACAGCUCCUGAGUGGAAAUUGCUGCACUGUGUCCCUGAUGAGGAAACGGAGGCUCCUCAGACACUCUGACCAGGUGUCUUCUCUGGGACUCUGGUCGGUUUCUCACUUCCCCCUCCUUCGCCUCCCACAUUUCAGCCACACCUUCAUACACCUGCUGGAAGGGUCUUUUU
rnacentral:lncRNA from 1 species